rnacentral:snRNA from 1 species
GGAUGUAAGGAUGAUAUGGCUGUGAUAGCUUUCAUGCCAUUGAUUGCCAGGGUUGAUUCAGUCAAUCUGGUCGGUGUCCUCUUCCUCCCUCACUGUUCCAUGUGUGACCCUCCAUACUCAAUUGAAAAAGACAGCAUUCUCUUUUAGAGGAGGACCCUUCUUUUUUAUU